CACGCAAUGAUUCUGUUUUUGUGAAUAUACAUAUAUAUCACCUCCUUCUUUUUACCUUUUUUACCUUCUUUCUGUCCCACUUUCUGUUUAAAUAACCUUCUUUCGGGUGAGCGUUGGGGCUAGAGGCUAGGGAGAAAUUGUUGGCAUUGAAAUGAGAGGUUUUCUGUGAAACAUUUAGCUUUAAGUUAGCAGAAUUUUCACGAAAGUUGAACAACCACGCGUGUCUGUGCCUAGUUAUUUUUUCGAAAUACGGUUCAUCAUACGGAGGUUGCCUCCCAUCAACUAAAAUACGACAGAGUUGGAGCACAUUCGAGAAAAUUCCCAGGAAGUUAGACAAAAAUGUGGCAAACUAACGACGAGUGUAGGGAGAUAGUGGACGGAAGUUGGCAAACGUUGCGAGCAAAUGAGAAGCACCAAAUUGCAAUAUGUCCUAAUGUAGAAGCGUUCAGGCGAAAGUUCGAGAGAGUUUGGCGAUGUUUGGUUUGAGCUCGGCCACAGUAAUAGGGAAAGUGACGCGAAGUGUGAUCAAUCUGAGUCAAGCUUUCGACAAGUGAAAGACGAGAGUAGGAGUUGAGGAGCGGGCCAGAUGGAAGACGGAAGCUGCGACGAAUCUUCAACUAAUUUAUGAGCGUUGAAAAAAAAAGUUGGAGAGAGGUUAUGGGGUUAUUCAAGUAGUGUCGGAAAAUUAAAAAGUGUAGAAAAAUUACGUCACAACCUUAUUCAAGUAGAUAAAAACAUGUAUUUAAAUACAUUUGUGACGUCACAAAUGUAUUUAAAUGCAUUUUGCUACAUUACUUGAAUAACCCCAUUAGAAAAUUUUGAAUGGUCUCUACGGAUCUCAGCAAACGUUCGUCCAAACUGCGACAACCUUAUGACGCGUUUAUGAUAAAAUUUGAAGUUGAGACAAUGAGAGAGAAGGAUAACCGAGCAGAGGUUGAGAAGAAAGCUCGAGAGAGCUUGGCAAACAUUGAAAGAUAGUUCAGCUAGCCCUGAGACAAUAUUUUGCGCCAAAGCUGAACAAAUUUCCGGUGGAAGUCAAUCGGAAAUUAAGAAAAAUAUGGAGAACUUCCCAUUACUUUAGCUAUACUCCUCCCAACCUUUCCCCGUGUACCCUCAACCUGAAAGAAUCCACCUCUGUAAAAGCCUGCAGUUGUCAUAAACCUUGUUCCCAAUUUCUCUUCCCUUUCCUAAUUUUCUCCGAAAAAAAUGCACGUGGACCUCUCCAGAUUGUCUCCUAAUUUUCUCUUACCCCUCACACAUACA
ensembl:ncRNA C05D2.11 ncRNA